GAUUAGUAGAUGCUGCCUUGCCAGUCAGACAACACGGAUUUCGGUUCGCGCUUUUUGUCACUUUAAUCGAUAUUUGUCUGUAAAAACCAUUUCGUUCUUAAUGAAAUUGGUUCGUUGAUUAAACAAAUCUCCAUUAAUUAAUUAGCUAAUUAAUUAAUUUGUAUAAUGUUUAUGAUAAUUAAUAGUAAACUUUUAGAGUGUAAAAAUGUAAAAUCAGUGCAAUAAAUGAUAAUUUAUGUUACACUAUUGAAUCAAGUAAUUAAUGAUUCUGGAGUUACGUAAUUUAUCAUUAAAUCUGCAAUUAUUAAAGUGCGUAUUUUUAAUCUAUUGCUGUAAUUAUCGUCCCACGGUUAUUGUUACGGCUGGAGACGAGUCGAGUGGCCGCGGGACUUGGUGAGACGCACAACCGUCUACCUUUCAACGUUACGUCGGAGCUUAUCUGCGACGAGGACGAGGUUGAGGGCUACACAAGUGUCGCCAGCCAGUUUGUAAUAACCUACCACAAUGGAUUGUGCAUUUUUUAAGCACAUACGAUGGCCGAUUCACGCGGCUUCAAGCCAAUAAAUUUGUGGAGCGGUGACCCGGACUCGGAGUGUCUUUACGAGGAGAUAUCUGGUCUCUCGUCAUCGGUGGACCCAGAGCGUCGCAGCGUAGGAUCCGGGACCAGCGAGCGGAGCAGCCGGUCGAGGCGCAAAGCGAGCAGUCAGGAGACUCUCCAGCGAGCAGCAAGUGUAGGCAGACGCGUGUAUCACCAACAGGAGCAGGCCCAGGCGGUUUUGAUUCCCGAUAAAUCGGUUCCCCAGCCGCAAGUGCGUCACAAUACUCUUCCCGCUAAUUAUCAGCACCAGCAUCAACAGAUUCAGCACCACCAAUUGCAGCAGCUGCAUCAACAGCAUUUGCAUCAGCAGCCGUACUCAGGAACAACCCAAUCAGCGGUACACAAUUUCCGGGAUCAAUUCGGGAGUGGAAACACCGCCGGCAGGGUGGAGGAGCAAUAUGCCACACGAGGAUUCUAUGGGGAGUCUCUACACGGCGCCCCAUUCGAGGCUUCUGCCUCAUUCAAGCUGACGAGGGGACGCACCGCUGCCCACUAUCAUCACUAUCAUCAUUACACCAGCAGUCUGCGGCGUCCUGGCGCUAGACCCGCACCUAGAUACCACUUUCCACGCGGUGUAUUCAGUGAUGAGACGCAGGAAGAAAUACAAGAGGACGAUGAAGCUACUCUCAGAGAGUUGCUCGUAAGUCUGCAGAAACAGGUCAGCGUGAUGAGUAUGAACUUGAGUGCCAAGCUGGACGAGCUUCAGCAGCGGGGUGACCGUCAGCUCGAGACGACGGUGGCUCUUUGUGAGAUUCGUACUCAGCUACAGGAGCUCACCAAGAGCGUCGAGUCCUGUCAGAGCGAGGUCAGCGAGGUCAAACGGGACAUGGUCGCGAUAAAGAAUAUUGUUCUUGUCACGCGCUGCCUGCAGCACGAACUGGACACGGUGCAGCAAGUCAAGGAGGAAAUUGAGGAAUUACGGGAGUACGUGGACCGACUUGAGGAGCAUUCACAUCGACGGAAACUCAGGCUUUUGGAACAGGGAUUAACAUUUUUCCUGGCGUACGCGAUAUUCGCAGCGGUGUUUGGAAUGCUUCAGUUCGGAUACAACACUGGAGUAAUAAAUGCACCUCAAGGGAAUAUUGCCAACUUCAUGAAAGAUGUCUACAAAGACAGGUACGGCGAAGAUAUGCCUGAUUAUUAUGUUAAAAAUUUGUACUCGGUAGCAGUGAGCAUAUUUGCAAUUGGGGGGAUGAUCGGUGGGUUCAGCGGCGGAAUUAUUGCUAACAGAUUUGGAAGAAAAGGGGGACUGCUACUAAACAAUGUACUAGGAAUAGUAGGAGCAUGUUUAAUGGGUUUCACAAAAGCAGCUCAUUCAUACGAGAUGUUAUUCUUGGGACGUCUUAUAAUCGGUAUUAACUGCGGACUGAACACGUCAUUAGUUCCCAUGUACAUAUCGGAAAUAGCCCCGCUGAAUUUACGAGGUGGGCUGGGAACUGUUAAUCAGCUGGCUGUUACUAUCGGCCUCUUAAUUUCCCAAGUACUGGGUAUUGAACAAAUUCUGGGCACUAAUGAUCGCUGGCCCGUUCUACUGGGCUUAGCUGUCAUACCGCCUAUUGCACAACUUCUGUUACUGCCAAUCUGUCCAGAAUCUCCAAGGUAUUUGCUCAUCACCAAGCAGUGGGAAGAGGAAGCACGUCGCGCACUGAGAAAACUCCGAGCUAGCAAUCAAGUCGAAGAAGAUAUUGAAGAAAUGAGAGCUGAGGAGCGAGCUCAACAGGCUGAGUCGACUAUUUCGAUGGGCGAGCUUAUAUGCAGUCCAACUUUAAGAGCUCCCCUCGUUAUUGGUGUAGUCAUGCAACUAUCACAGCAACUUUCGGGUAUCAAUGCAGUCUUUUAUUACUCGACAAUACUGUUCCGAAGUGCUGGAUUGUCUGACGAAAGUGCCAAGUUCGCAACAAUCGGUAUAGGCGCUAUUAUGGUUGGUAUGACGUUAGUAUCCAUACCGUUAAUGGAUCGCACUGGUAGACGAACGCUACAUCUAUAUGGUCUCGGUGGAAUGUUUAUAUUUUCCAUAUUCAUCACCAUUUCGUUCCUUAUAAAGGAGUUUUUCAAUUACGUACAGGAAAUGAUCGGGUGGAUGUCUUAUCUAUCAGUGGUAUCGACAUUAAGUUUCGUAGUAUUCUUCGCCGUGGGACCGGGUUCGAUACCGUGGAUGAUCACCGCCGAGUUAUUUUCUCAAGGUCCUCGUCCGGCUGCCAUGUCAAUUGCUGUCCUCGUUAAUUGGAUGGCUAAUUUUGUCGUCGGAAUCGGUUUUCCAAGCAUGAUGACCUGUCUCGAUAAUUAUACAUUCCUACCGUUCAGUGCAUUCCUGGCUGUUUUCUGGAUCUUUACGUACAAAAAGGUCCCGGAAACUAAAAACAAGACCUUCGAAGAAAUAUUGGCUCUCUUUAGGCACAACCACGACAGGAGCAGCUUGCGGGACAGCCGACUUUAUGGGAGCAUGCUAAACAGUACGAAUGCGUUAGAGGGACACAUACCGCCAGCCGAGAGUGCAGCCCUGAUGGUGGCCGAGGAGAAGCCACAUCCUGACUCAUGACGCGCAAAAAGGAAACGAUGUUACAUUAGAAGUUUAUAACAACUUACCACAGAUAUAAUACACACAAAACCUAGGAUAAACUCGUUGUGUUUGCAGCUGGAUCAGAACGCUCUUCCAUCGCUCCCGCUCAACCGGAGAGGGCACCGCCCCCGC
rnacentral:misc_RNA from 1 species